CUUUUUCCGAGCCGCCUUAGAACGCACCAUGAGCAGGCGGAGCCAGGUGCCAAACACCGCUGUCGUGUUGUAAUUUCAAUCACAGAGACGUUGAUUCAGAUCCGUUUCAAGCAUGUUCAGCAAACCAGCAGCCAAGAGGCAAAAAACUGUACCUAGUUUUCUCCAAACAAACCGUGUGUUGCUACAUGGAGUAGGUUUUCUGCAAUGUACAAAAAAGCUUUCUGCACCAUGUACACCAUUGACACCUGCCUAGGAUGUGGACGACUAUAUAAAAACUGCACACCAGUUUUACAGGAUAUGUUGGGACAGGAAAAAGGGGAGUACUAGAAGCAAUCUAUUCUCAAGCCGAAGAUCCGGGAUACUGCAGUCACUUCUGCAGCCAAUUGCAAUAGAUGUCCCUCUUGCCUGUCCUCCAGCCCCUGCACGUCGAGAGGAGCAGACACCCGUUUGUGCCCAGAGGACGUUUGGACUUUCAAAUGUACUUUUGAGAAUACUUUGCAAAAUCUCAUGACACUGUUAUUGUUGUAAAUAUAUUUAUAGUUAUACGUCCUUAAGAUGUUUGUGUUAAUGUUUCUAUCGUUGUUUCUGCAUCCAAGGUUGACAUGUACUUUGUUAGUUUCGAUUGAAUAUGCAUGUUAAGUAUUACCUUAGUUUGUUUCACUAGUCACUUUUGUUGUACAUAGUCACUUUAAAUUGUCACCUUUUUUCCACAUUUGUAUAUAGUCACUGUUAGUACCUGGAAGCAGUAGGAGUGAGCUGCCUUUUCUUUUGACUUGUUUUCUCAUGUUUUAUGUUAGUUUAGGAUGUUAGUUUUAGUGAUGGUCUUUUUUAUUAUUUACUUUGGCAUAGGGUUUAGGUAGCUUCCCUUUGAAAUCUAGUUCGUUGGUUGGCCUUGUUUCACUCCGAAGAGAAGCUUCAUUUUCAGU